UACCUCAGUAACGGCGAGUGAAGCGGUAACAGCUCAAAUUUGAAAUCUGGGUCUUUCAGGCUCCGAGUUGUAAUUUGUAGAAGAUGCUUUGGGUGCGGCCCCGGUCUAAGUUCCUUGGAACAGGACGUCAUAGAGGGUGAGAAUCCCGUAUGUGAUCGGUGGCUUGCGCCCGUGUAAAGCUCUUUCGACGAGUCGGGUUGUUUGGGAAUGCAGCUCUAAAUGGGUGGUAAAUUUCAUCUAAAGCUAAAUAUUGGCCAGAGACCGAUAGCGCACAAGUAGAGUGAUCGAAAGAUGAAAAGCACUUUGGAAAGAGAGUUAAACAGUACGUGAAAUUGUUGAAAGGGAAGCGCUUGCAACCAGACUUGCGCGGGGUUGAUCAUCCGGGGUUCUCCCCGGUGCACUCGGCCUCGCUCAGGCCAGCAUCGGUUUCGGUGGUUGGAUAAAGGCCUUGGGAAUGUGGCUCCUUUCGGGGAGUGUUAUAGCCCUCGGUGCAAUGCAGCCUACUGGGACCGAGGACCGCGCUUCGGCUAGGAUGCUGGCGUAAUGGUUGUAAGCGACCCGUCUUGAAACACGGACCAAGGAGUCUAACAUCUAUGCGAGUGUUUGGGUGUCAAACCCAUACGCGUAAUGAAAGUGAACGGAGGUGAGAACCCUUAAGGGUGCAUCAUCGACCGAUCCUGAUGUCUUCGGAUGGAUUUGAGUAAGAGCAUAGCUGUUGGGACCCGAAAGAUGGUGAACUAUGCCUGAAUAGGGUGAAGCCAGAGGAAACUCUGGUGGAGGCUCGCAGCGGUUCUGACGUGCAAAUCGAUCGUCAAAUUUGGGUAUAGGGGCGAAAGAC
rnacentral:rRNA from 1 species